GGCCUCCCAAUGCUUACCACAGGCUGUGUUCUUUACACUGACUUAUAGAAAGAGCAGAUACAGUAAAUGCUGCCCAUAUGCACCUGAAACCAGUCCCUUUGCCUGCUCUAAAUUGUGAAUGGGGGGACAAAA